GGGGAUGUUUGGUCUUGACAGGGUAGGCUCCUGUUUAGCUGCACGUCGAGCCGCCCAGUCUCGUUAAAGGGGCACAAGGCAUAACUGCCACAAACAUCAGCGCUCCGUCGUUCGCCCGAACGACCGCGUUUGCUGCCUAGUUUUAGGUAGCACGUUUACCACUCUUCGCCCGGCCGAGUGAGUGAACGCAAACGCCGGGACGCAUCUAGAGAGCCGCCUGCGUAUCUAGAUUAAGCACAGUGGGAUCGUUGUAGCACUGCUUUGUUGCUGGUGUGGUGCUAUGACUAGACAAAACAAGUAACUACACGUGUAGACGCUAGCAGUUCGCUUAUUUUGGACGGGGGUUCGACUCCCCCCAUCUCCACCA
rnacentral:tmRNA from 1 species